rnacentral:rRNA from 1 species
GACAGAGGAUGCAAGCGUUAUCCGGAAUGAUUGGGCGUAAAGCGUCUGUAGGUGGUUUGUUAAGUUGGAUGUGAAAACUGUGGGCUUAACCCAUAGCCUGCAUCCAAAACUAGCAGGCUAGAGUUCUGGAGGGGAUAGCGGAAUUCCUGGUGUAGCGGUGAAAUGCGUAGAUAUCAGGAGGAACACCGGUGGCGAAGGCGGCUAUCUGGACAGAGUCUGACGCUGAGGCGCGAAAGCUAGGGGAGCAAACAGG